AAAUUGAAGAGUUUGAUCAUGGCUCAGAUUGAACGCUGGCGGCAGGCCUAACACAUGCAAGUCGAGCGGCAGCGGGAAAGUAGCUUGCUACUUUUGCCGGCGAGCGGCGGACGGGUGAGUAAUGCCUGGGGAUCUGCCUAGUCGAGGGGGAUAACAGUUGGAAACGACUGCUAAUACCGCAUACGCCCUACGGGGGAAAGGAGGGGACCUUCGGGCCUUUCGCGAUUGGAUGAACCCAGGUGGGAUUAGCUAGUUGGUGGGGUAAUGGCUCACCAAGGCGACGAU
rnacentral:rRNA from 1 species